UACGUAGGGUGCGAGCGUUGUCCGGAAUUACUGGGCGUAAAGAGCUCGUAGGUGGUUUGUCGCGUUGUCCGUGAAAACUCACAGCUUAACUGUGGGCGUGCGGGCGAUACGGGCAGACUGGAGUACUGCAGGGGAGACUGGAAUUCUGGUGUAGCGGUGAAAUGCGCAGAUAUCAGGAGGAACACCCAGUGGCGAAAGGCGCCGCUCUGGG
rnacentral:rRNA from 1 species